UACGUAGGGUGCGAGCGUUAAUCGGAAUUACUGGGCGUAAAGCGUGCGCAGGCGGUUCGUUGUGUCGGUGGUGAAAGCCCCGGGCUUAACCUGGGAAUGGCCAUGGAAACUGGCGAACUGGAGUGUGGCAGAGGGGGGUGGAAUUCCACGUGUAGCAGUGAAAUGCGUAGAGAUGUGGAGGAACACCGAUGGCGAAGGCAGCCCCCUGGGCUAACACUGACGCUCAUGCACGAAAGCGUGGGGAGCAAACAGG
rnacentral:rRNA from 1 species